GAGCACUGUUCGUGACCCGUCAGCCUGCUGUGGCUGACGGGUUCCAUUCCAGUGCCAGAGCAAUUCCAGUGACACAUGACUGGGCGCCUGGCCGAUGGCUCUCAGUUUCAGAUCUUGGAGACAAGC